GAUGAACGCUGGCGGCGUGCCUAAUACAUGCAAGUCGAGCGAACGGACGAGAAGCUUGCUUCUCUGAUGUUAGCGGCGGACGUGUGAGUAACACGUGGAUAACCUACCUAUAAGACUGGGAUAACUUCGGGAAACCGGAGCUAAUACCGGAUAAUAUUUUGAACCGCAUGGUUCAAAAGUGAAAGACGGUCUUGCUGUCACUUAUAGAUGGAUCCGCGCUGCAUUAGCUAGUUGGUAAGGUAACGGCUUACCAAGGCAACGAUGCAUAGCCGACCUGAGAGGGUGAUCGGCCACACUGGAACUGAGACACGGUCCAGACUCCUACGGGAGGCAGCAGUAGGGAAUCUUCCGCAAUGGGCGAAAGCCUGACGGAACAACGCCGCGUGAGUGAUGAAGGUCUUCGGAUCGUAAAACUCUGUUAUUAGGGAAGAACAUAUGUGUAAGUAACUGUGCACAUCUUGACGGUACCUAAUCAGAAAGCCACGGCUAACUACGUG
rnacentral:rRNA from 1 species